UGUAUGUUUAUAUUACUCUUUGGUACAUCGUGUAUGUUUAUAUUACUCUUUGGUACAUCGUGUCCGGUAGGAGCACAGAGUACAUUGGCAGGAGUAAUCACAAAUCACAGAGCACAUCAGCACAAUCACAGAGCAUAGUAAUACUUACAGGCACAAUCGUACACAAAGAGUAUAAUAAUAAAAUACGGAGAUCGUACACGUGCUACCCAUAAGACUAGUUUAGAUGUUUUGUAAUUUGUUAUUUGAUCAAAGUUUUAGAAGUCCAUACAACUAAAAAUAUAUAUUUGGAUGACCUAGACAACACAUUAAUAUUACAAAUAAUGGCUACUGAUGACAUAUCACGAGGUGUGGGGAUGGGGAGAUUGGAAAUAGAGCCAUGCAAAGCUUUAAAUAAUAUCAAGGAAGAAAAUCCAUUUUUAAAUCCCUCACAGAGAAAAGUUGUAUCGAAAACCUUAACUCAAACAACCAAAUGUACCUGCCUAAGUCAAAGAAAACGAAAGGUUUCAAAAUGUAAAAGGAAGCAUAAACUAUUGAAAGACCCAGUUCUGAAGCAUCGUAUACAUAUUUCUCUUCAUCAUUCCUACAAUAUACAAAAUAGAAUAAAAAACGAAUGCCCAUAUUUAUUCCAUAAAGAUGUAAUGAAUGUUAAAUUUACCAAAAAAUGCAAUGCUGAUGAUGUAAACUUACACACAUUAGUUGAUAAUUGCAAUCAACUAAGUAUUUCAUCAGAUAAAAGCCAAACAGUUCUAAAAGUUAAUAAUGUAAAUGAUUCUGUCCAAUGGUGGAACUGUGAAGCUAACAGUGAAAGACAAUUGAGAGACUCAAAUACAGUUAGAAGUUCACAUGGAUCCUGUUAAUUAAAGUAAUUAAAUAACUAAAUAAAAUUAUAGAACUAAUUAAAUAACUUCUGACUUUCUUAUUAUUUUAUUCUGUCAAUUUCUUUUUUAUUAAAAAAUUUUAUUAAUUAAUGGUGCAUUACCUUGUAUUGCAAGUGGUAUGGAGGAGUAUGGUGGAAACUAUUUGAUUACAGAUGUAACAAUUGCAAUUCGAACGUACGAACGACAAUAAACAAACAUGUGACUAACUCGUCGAAGUAUUGAAUGGCGCUCUCCGACUGAUGCCGGUCGCUGCUGUCUCGAGUACUCACACCAAUUUUUGCAUUGGCUGUUUUCACGAUUAAAGAAAAAUAUAUAUUAAAAUGCUAAGGUUAAGACGUUUGGCUCCCCUUUUAGAGAAAAAUCCCCAAAUACUUUUUUGUAAUUUUGUAGUGAUAAUUAUUGUACUCAGUUAAUGCGAAUUAUUCGCACAGGUAUAGCUUACUAGCUGUAAUAAUGUACUAUUUUACGUGCAAAGUUAUAAUAAAUGAUACUGUAUAA